AAGAGUCUAGUAUAAUGGGUUACUACACUGCCUUGUCGAGGCCGAAAUGCGGGUUAAAGCCCCGCGUCUCUUA
rnacentral:tRNA from 1 species